UACGUAGGUGGCAAGCGUUGCCCGGAUUUAUUGGGCGUAAAGGGCGCGUAGGCGGCUCGGCACGUCCGUUGUGAAAUCGCCCGGCUCAACUGGGCGGGGUCAGCGGAUACGGCCGAGCUUGAGCAAGCUAGGGGGCAAUGGAAUUCCCGGUGUAGUGGUGGAAUGCGUAGAUAUCGGGAGGAACACCAGUGGCGAAGGCGGUUGCCUGGAGCUUUGCUGACGCUGAUGCGCGAAAGCGUGGGGAGCGAUCCGG
rnacentral:rRNA from 1 species